GGGUGAGUAGUUCAGUGGUAGAACGCUUCUCUGAUAAAGAAGAGGUUGGAGGUCCGAUUCCUCCCUCACCCA
rnacentral:tRNA from 5 species